GCUCACCGUCUGUUAUUUGGGGUGGUAAAGCCAUCCAUAUGCUCACAUGGAGAGGAUUGGUCGUCGAGUACUCUGGAGUGUCGGGCGAUAGGAUAGAGUUGUCCGCAGACAGUCCCGGGUUCGGGGGCACAUAGAGCCUCUUUGCCCAAUGGGAUGGAUAUGUGAGUCGUAGGCAAACCCAAGGGUUUUGCCACAGAUUGGGCAAAUGAAAAGUUAAUAAUGACAUUGAACAUUGCUUAUCGAACAUGAAUCGAAUUUGUUAGCAUGAUAGUAACCUUCUACUAUAUGAUGUAUGCAUUCAUUACUCAUGAUUAUAAGCAUAGUAGCAUAGUUUGCCUAUUAUGUCAUUACAGCUUUGAUAUAUAUCUAUCUAUCUCGUUGUUACUUGUGCCCACUUGGACCUAGUGGGAAGAUCGGCGGAGUUGGCGGCCGAGCCCACUGGAAACUAUGGAAGAUAGUUCUCACCCCACUCUAUUUCCAAGGCUAGGUACAGGUUUGCCGGGCGAGUACCGCGGCAGGGGCAUCGCGCCCGACCAGUGAGGAUUUUUGGUAGAGUAGUAGCUUUCCUUUUGCAUUAGCACACCUAGGUAUUUGAGAGAGAUUUAUGUAGGUGAGGAUUUGGAGAGCUAUGUAUUUUGAUGACACUAGUGAACAUGUAUUCAUUUUGGAGAAAAAUGUAAAUGUAAAAGAAUGUGAAGUAAUUGGAUGCAAUUAAUGUAAUAGCUAGUAGUUCUCUCUUUAUUUCACUUGUGUAUCUUGUGGAUUACUUGCUCUUUGUUGUUGGCACUGUUUGUGCCCCGUUGAUUGUGUACUUAUAGAAUUUAAAAUCCUGGGUAAAUUCUUGUACUUGAUCUGUUGUUGAGCCUUGGGUGGACAGGGGAGGUGCUAUCCGUUCGGGGUCCGUUCGCCGCGCCCGAACCGUGCCAAAUUGGUAGGAGUUUCGGGGCGGGGGCGUGACAGAGCGUGGUAUCAGAGCAAUAAGAGCAGGUAAAGGGAGAAAGUCUAGGAUGAUCUAGGAGACCCUAGGUUGGUAAACCCUAAGGCUAUAGGUGCGUGGGCGGAACGUGAACCUAUAACGGUGGCGGGAGUUAAUUCGAUUAGGUCGAAGUUGGUGAUAUGUCUCUAGUAAUUGCUAGAGAUGGAUUCAAGUGGUAUUAGUUCUUGAUUUGAGGUGAUUAUGUCUGCGGCCGACGACAUGAUACCAAGAGUCUAGAAUGAGUACACUUGUGUGCUUCCGCCCGAUUUUGUUGUUGAGUCGUUAUGUGCCGUAAUUUCGACGAGGUAAUUAGUUAAGAUGACUAACCAAGUAUUUGCAUUUCAGGAACUAAUGUCUCCAAGACGCUACAAACGUAGAUCCGCCCUGGCACCGUCUCCUGAGGUGCCUGAGCAGGCUGGAUCAAGCGAGAUAAAUCGGUUGUAGGCACAAGUGACCGCAUUGGUUGGUGUGGGACCCUGGUUCUCCCUCGAAGCUGCCGCCUGCUGAAGUAGGAAGUCCUCAAGAUAAUUCAUCCGCGUCUCCUGCCGCUGAGCCACCUCAGCCUGUCGCUGCGCCGCUGCCGUCUGCUACGCCAACAGAUCAAUGAGGACCGCAAGCUGGGUCCUCAAGUCACGGACCUCACUAGAUCCGGAAGUAGCGGAGGUCUCGACCUCCUCGGGGUGUGCCGCAUCAUCCGCCCCGGCAGACUGGGAGCGUGUAACCGGUAUCGUCACUACAAAAUAUAAAAGCGCAAGUUAGUAACCUACGCUAUCGCAUCCCCGCUCAAGAAGAUAAAACCCCAAAUCAUGCGAAAGUAAGGAAGUGUCCUUCACUACUAACUCCCGAUGUUACGUUGUCGGCCGCCAACGUAACCCUCCGCGAAGUUAGAAGCCAUACACUUGGAUCGAACUCUAACUUUUUAGAGUUAUCAUCAAACCCAAUCGAAAUGCUUUCGCUCACAAGUCAAUUAGACAUCGUCUCUCACGAGCCUAUUUCCUAUAGUCCAACUGGCCUAAAGUUUGCUAGGUCCACUAAGACGCAACCCUAGGCUCUGAUACCAAACUAAUCUGUCACGCCCCGGGACCGGCAGAGGCCCUCCCGGUAGCGCGCCCAGACCCGCCAUAUGUCAACACAUAUAAGACAUCUAAAAUAACAGCGAAAAUAAAACCAAAGAUAAUCUACAUUUAGAGAUAUCAGAGCACAGAUAGUUCUAUAAUCUAUAAUAAGGUAAACGGAAAAUACUAAACAAUAGAGGUGAAAUAUAUAGUUAUACGAUAUUCGUCCAAAAAGGUACACAAAAGGGUGGCCUCUAACACACUGGUACAACUCUCGACCUCACCAAAAUAAUAUACAUCGAGAGGUAGACUACCUAGAACUCGUCACUCGCUGAAGAGCCAGCUCGAAGCAACGUCCUUCCCACGGUCCCUAGGCUCUCCCGGCGUGGAAGGCUCUGAAAGGAAACAUAAAACAGAAGGCGUGAGAAUUAUAAUUUAUAGUUCCCAGUGGGCAAUUACUUACCUCAGCUCUAUGCACCACUAGGCCCCAAAAGAAAAGGGGUAAGCAUUAUAAGCAAUGAUAAUAAAGAUAACUACAAUAAGAAAACAUAAUGGAAUGCUAAGCUACUAUAUCUCAAGUAAACAUGAUGUAGGUAUGAUGUACAUCUACUCUAUCAUAAUGCCCGCACGUCCAAUGGCAACAAGUGCUACUGUCCAAGAUGUCAUACACAAAGAAUAAGCUCUAUCAAGCAACCCAGUAUACUAUGAUGCAAUGAAUGAAACAGGCAAGUAUACUAUAUAUCCCAAUGCUAUGUCAUGAGCAUGUCAAGUAAUCCAACUACUAAGCCUAUCUAGUAGAGAUUAUUCAAUCUCAACACUAUGUCGAUUUUCAUUUCCAAUUAAGAAUCUACCAAAGGUAGUCCAGCUUGUGCCGCCUAAGUGCCUGUGGUAGCCCUACAUCCCUACUCUUGGAAUGUGUCUAUCCCACUCGACCCCGUAGGCUUCUCAAUACCGCACGAGCGAACAUAGGUCGCAUAGGCUAACUUCGGAGUGCCGGCUUGUAGGAAACGACCCUCACAAGCAUAUGCGAAUGAGCACAAAUGGCAAGCAAGCGUAGUCAACGUCUCAAGUAUCCAAUCAUCAUGGCUCUAACAUGGUAUAGUCACUAGCAUCUCGAAGAUCUAGUUCUAUGUCACAAUGUGAUAGCUCAACACUCACUUGCUUAGUGCCUCUUUAUGACACUUAAGCAUCACAACUAAUCAAGCUCAAUUCAUGUUCUAUGUUCCAAAUAUGACAUUAAUACCAAUGUUCACUAUAGCCCGGGGUCCAAUGCCUAUUUAUGACAUUGGCCCAAUUUCUCAAAUAGUCUAACUCCCCAAGCCUCCCAAGGCUUCCAAGUCCCUAAUGUCACAAUUAGGCAUAAGGUUAAAUGCAAGAAAGCAAUGUUCAUUUUCAUAAUAGGAAUCAUGGUUCCAAGUUUCCAUUAGAAUGCUACAUCCCACAUGCAUGCACCUACCACAUAGAGGUCCAAAAAUUUACUAUACAUAAUGUAUGCAUGUUAAGCAUUCUAAAAUUCAUAAUAAAUAUAUCUAACAUGAUUAUGCAUACUUUUUCAUUUAACGAUACUCCAAACAUCACAAAUAAGAUUUUCUCAUUGUGUGGCUAGGUCAAACCCACCGAACCGUCGCGUAGUCCCUCGAUUCGCCGAACGGAGUUGUCCACGAGUCUCAAAAUACCCUAAAAGUAUUGAGCGAAGAGAUACACGGGCAUUACGAUCAACUAUAAGAUCAAACAUUAACAACCAAGGCAAAAGUUCUAAAACUCACCUAAUGAGUGGAAAAUCUCUCUCAAGCUCCAAAGGAAGGCUAGGAUCCUUCCAAGGCAACCUAAACCAAGGUUCUAAUCUUAUUAGAUUAGCUCAAAAAGCCUCCAAGCAAAAAGCCCAAAAUAAACCCUAGAUUUCCCAUUCUAGGGUUUCAUCCCCCAAAAUCUACCAAAGCUAGGUCUAGAGGGAAGAAACAAAAAAACCAACCUCAAGAGAACUCCAUUCCAAGCUCCAAGGGUGAAGAUCUUCUCUCUUGCAAGCUCCAAGUCCAAGCUCCAAGCACCAAGGAAGAAGAGAGGGUGAGGAAGAUGCUCCAAGUCCACUAGUUGCUCUCAAUCUUCUUCUUCUUCCUUCCUUCUUCUCCUCCUUCUUCUUCUUCUUCUUCUCUAUCAAGGGUGUAGAGAGAGUUGAGGGAAGAGAAAUGAGGAGAAGAGAGAGUGGAUGGGUCAUAUAGACCAUCUAUUGCAACAAAAUCCAGCUAGGUCCCUCAAAAAUCCAAAAUUGCAUCAGCCCGGUCUGGGCAAUUUUCGCCCAGAGGGACCGGUCUCUCCCUGCAAGGGACCGGUCUCUCGCUGCUAACCCGAAAAACCAACACUCGGGAACUGGUCUCUCCCUGCACGAGACCGGUCUCUCACUGCGUAGACGUGCUCGGGGACCGGUCUCGCCCGCCAGGGACCGGUUGCCUCACCGGCUGCGCAACACUGCUCACUAGGGGACCGGUCUCUCCUCUCAGGGACCGGUCCCCGAGAGUGAAAACUCUCAGGACUCGUCCAGAACUCAGGUUUUCGAACUUUCUAGGUCGAAAAAUAUUCUACGACCCUCCACCAAGUGUGGAAAAGCUCGAAACACAUCCAAUCACUCGAACCUCGCAAUUUGCAAAGGUCCAGUGUGUUACAUCCGCGGACUCAACAAAAAGGCCAUGGAGCGCGACGGUGCAUCAUAUGUGGUGGAGACCACCUGGUGUCACGUUGUGAGCAACGCCAAGGAAAGUGCUACAAGUGCGUGCAACCGGGGCACUUCAUACGGGAUUGCCCGGGAGGAGGAGCUUCACCUGCUCUGUCUAUUGCGUCAGCGCCGGCAGCUACGGCUCACCAUGGAGGAGCGCUACCGGCGGCAGCAUCAACAGGACGCGCGAUGGCCCCACGACAGCCCGAGAUGGCACGUUCGGCCCCGAGCGGACGGGUAUUUGCCGCUCAGGUCCAAGCCGAGGAGCCUGCGUAGGCGUAGGAGCAUCGCCUUGUGGUAGGUAUGGUUUUAAUUAACGGAGUGCGCUCCAGGGCUAUGUUUGAUAUAGGAGCCACGUAUUCGUUUAUCAGUAGAUCAUUCGCACGUAUGCAUGACAUACUCAUAGAGGCGAGUCACAAGUGGCGAGUUGAGGGCCCUGGAUCGACAUUUAACACCUACACGGAAUGCUCAUCGUGUCCAGUACAAGUAGGCGACUGGAUAAUGCCCAUUAGAAUGCUAGAGCUCAAGAAUCUUAAAGUGUUCGAUGUCAUAUUGGGCAUAGACUGGCUCUUAAAGUAUCAUGUAAUGAUCGACUGCAAGAGCAGAGUGAUUACAUUCCGAGAGCCAAGACAGAAGGAGUACACUUAUCGAGCUUGUCAGAACUCGUGCUUCGCAGCGACGGUGUUGGCGACGAGAGCAAGAAAGUUGGUCAACAGCGGUUGCGCAGCAUUCUUGGCAACCGUUGUAGAGGUGGACCGAGUGGCUCCGACCUUGGAGGAGUUAUCGGUGGUGCGGGAGUUCCCGGAUGUGUUUCCCGCGGAGUUACCGGGGAUACCACCGGAUCGGGAGAUCGAGUUCGUUAUAGACUUGAUUCCCGGUACCGCACCGAUCUUGAAGGCUCCGUACCGAAUGGCGCUGGCGGAACUUAAGGAGUUGAGGAGUCAGUUGCAAGAUCUUCUUGACAAACAGUUUAUCCGGCCAAGUGUAUCACUGUGGGGAGCCCCGGUGUUAUUUGUGUGGAAGAAGGACAGAUCGUUUCGACUCUGUGUGAAUUAUCGAGAGUUGAACAGAGUCACGAUCAAGAACAAGUACCCACUACCCCAGAUCGAUGACCUGUUUGAUCAGUUGCAGGGAUCGUGUGUGUACUCGAAGAUAGAUUUGCAGUCCGACUAUCACCAAUUGAAAAUCAAGCCGGAGGAUGUGUAGAAAAUCGCGUUCCGUAUGCGGUACGGGCACCAUGAAUUUACGGUCAUGCCAUUUGGACUCACGAAUGCUCCAGCGGCGUUCAUGGAUUUGAUGAACCGUGUUUUCAGAAAGUAUUUGGACCGAUUUGUCGUAGUCUUCAUAGACGACAUAUUGGUCUAUUCUCGUAGUGCCGAGGAACAUGCAGAGCAUUUAAGAUUAGUGCUUCAAGUUCUUCGGGAGGAGAAGCUAUAUACUAAGCUGAAGAAGUGUGACUUCUAGCUCCGAGAGAUUGCCUUCUUAGGGCAUGUGAUUUUCACGGGUGGAGUUUCAGUUGACCCUAGGAAAAUUGAGGUAAUCAAGGAUUGGCCACGCCUAACGAACGUCACGGAGGUUAGAAGCUUCGUGGGUUUGGCGGGCUACUAUAGACGGUUCGUGGAGGGCUUUUCGAAGAUAGUAAUUCCACUUACCCGUCUGACUCAGAAAGGCACCAAAUUCAUUUGGAGCGAAGAGUGUGACCGGAGUUUCAAAGAGUUGAAGGAAAGACUAACUUCGACUCCGGUACUCACUCUACCGGUGCAGGGCGAAGACUUCGUAGUCUACAGCGAUGCUUCCUAUCUAGGAUUGGGGUGUGUUUUAAUGCAAAACAGGAAGAUAAUUGCUUAUGCGUCCCGUCAGCUGAAGAGCUAUGAAAAGAACUAUCCCAUUCACUAUUUGGAGCUGACAGCAGUGAUCUUCGCUUUGAAGUUGUGGCGGCACAAUCUGUAUGGUGCGCAUUGGGAGAUCUAUACCGACCACAGGAGCCUAAAAUAUCUGUUCACACAGAAAGAGCUGAAUAUGCGACAGCAACGGUGGUUAGAAUUUCUAAAGGAUUAUGACGUGGACAUCCUUUGCCACCCCAGGAAGGCAAAUGUGGUCGCGAAUGCACUGAGCAGGAAGUCGGCGGAGAACCUCGCUAUGUGGGUUACAAAUCAAACACCCCUAUGGCUAGAUAUGGAGCGAAUGAACAUUGAGGUGGUUGCUCCCGAGAUUCCGGCUAAAUUGACUGCACUCGUUGUCCAACCGACCUUGUUGGAGAGAAUUAAGAAUCUGCAACCCGCAGACCCAUAACUCCAAAAGGUGCGGCGCGACAUCGAGAAGGGUCGUGGCGGCAAUUUCAUGGUAGACGCCAAUGGUGCUCUUCGAUUUCGAAAUCGAUGGUGUGUGCCGAAUAAUGAGGAGAUCCGAGAGCUAAUCUUGCAAGAAGCACACCGGUCUCCGUAUGCUGAUCACUCGGGCGGCACCAAAAUGUAUCAAGGAUUAAAAAUGCACUAUUGGUGGCCGGGAAUGAAAAGUGAUAUUGGACAUUUCGUGGCGAAGUGCUUAGUAUGCCAACAAGUAAAGGCCGAGCGUCGGUUUCCAGCAGGAAAGUUUCAAAGCCUACCAAUCCCGGUUUGGAAAUGGGAAGACAUAUCAAUGGACUUCGUGGUCAGCUUGCCUCGCUCAACGGGUGGCCAUGAUGCAAUUUGGAUAAUUGUGGACCGAUUGAUGAAGUCAACUCACUUUUUGCCGAUCCACACCACGUGGGCAAGCGACAAGUUAGCGCAGGUGUACCUUGAUGAGAUAGUGAGGCUGCACGGGGUGCCGAAAUCGAUCAUGUCGGAUCGCGACCCCCGGUUCACUUCACACUUCUAGAAAAGCCUGCAGGAGGCCCUUGGCACAUGGCUCGACUUCAGCAUAGUAUUUCAUCCUCAGACAGAUGGGCAAACAGAGAGGACCAUUCAAACUCUAGAGGAUAUGUUGCGAGCGUGUACCAUCGACUAUAAAGGGAGUUGGUGUGAACAUCUGCCAAUGGCCGAGUUCGCCUACAACAAUAGUUAUCACGCUAGUGUAGAGAUGGCACCAUUCGAGGCUCUCUACGGGCGAAAGUGUCGGUCUCCUAUACACUGGAGUGAUGUGGGUGAGCGUACAGAGUUCGGCCCGGACGUGUUGCGAGAAGCGGAGGAGAAAGUCCGCUUUGCUCGAAAGCGAUUGCUCACGGCGCAGUCGAGACAGAAAAGCUACACUGAUAGGCGCGGUCGAGACAUAGAGUUCGCGGUAGGCGACCACGUAUUCUUAAAAGUUUCGCCAAUGCGGGGUGUGAAGCGGUUUGCAAUGCGGGAAAAGUUGAGUCCCCGGUACAUUGGACCCUAUUAAAUAUUGGAGCGAGUUGGCACGGUGGUCAUGGACUUGCCUUGCCGCCGAAGCUCGCGGAUGUACAAAAUGUGUUCCAUGUCUCCAACCUUCGCAAGUACAUUCAUGACCCCAAGCACGCAAUGCUAUACGAGCCAUCGGAACUCCAAGAAGACUUGAGCUACGAGGAGUUUCCGGUGAUGGUUAUUCCCCGAGAGGUGCGAAAACUGUGAAAUCACGAGAUUCCCUAUGUGAAGAUCCGGUGGAGCAAUUAUGAUGAUCGCAAGGCCACCUGGGAACUCGAGAAUCUGAUGAGAAAGCAUCAUCUUCACUUGUUUGACGAAUAAGGUAUGGAAAUUGAGUUUAAAUUAAGUUGAAUUAGUUUCAAGGACGAAACUCUUUUUAAGGAGUGGAGGAUGUGAGAAAGUGAAUUCUCGAAACCCGAGAGUUAUACUUCGUCCAGGAUUGACUAAUUGUCGAGUGGGUAUCCUUUGAAAAAGCUAAGAUGUCCAAAACACAAAAAGUGCUUUGGAGUCGAGUCCAUGAGAGCAAAUAGUGCAAAAUCUGCACUUUGCAGAUUCUGCUCUCGGGGACCGGUCCUUGGCAGGGAAGGACCUGUCCCCGUAGCUGGUGGUUGCGGGAUUGCCUGAUGCAACUAGUCCCUGGGCUGAGGGACCGGUCCCCAUAGGUGAAAUCCGCGGGAGAAGUGAAUAUUUGGCUAAUUCUCGAGAGGUCAGCUCUCGGGAACCGGUCUCUCGGGAAGGACCGGUCCUCAAGGGUCCAGUCUCUCGGGCAGGGAUCGGUUUCCGUACGCAGGAAUUUUGGAAAAGUCCUCAGGGACCGGUCCCUCAUCUGGAGGACCGGUCCCUCCGCGCGAAAUCUGCCUAGGCACAGUAAGUUGAGAGGGUUAAAGUGGAGGGGCUUUUAUGCAAAAUGCCAUUGGUUAGAGGGUAUAGAGAGGAAAUCAUUCUCUCCCUCUCUCAUUCUAACUCUCCCUCUCACACACUCUCUCUCUCCCUCAGCCCUCCCUCUCUCUCAAGGAAAGAAAAGAGAAGGAGAAGAAAGAAAAGAGAAGAAGAAGAAGGAGGAGAAGAAAAAGAAGGGGGAGAGCUUGGAGAGAUCAUCUCCACCACCUUCUUCUCUCCCUCUUCAUCCCUUUGGAGUAGCUCAAGAGGUAAGCUACUAAACCCUAGCAUGUAGAACUAAGGGUUUUGGGUUUUUGGCUUUGGAAAUGGGUCAAAUGGACCUCUAGCACGCUUCUAAAUAGAUCAAUGCUAGAAUCUAGGGUUUGGAAGGAGAGGUUGCUAUAGGUGCAACCUAGGGCUCCAAAUUGGGGUCUUUGAUAAACGAUGAGAUUGAUCUCAUUUAGUGGCUUGUAAACAUAAUUGAUAGGUGUCUAAACGCAGGAACGAAGUUGGAUUUACGAUUCGUCAAGCGGGUGAAAAGCUAUCGGCAAGAUAUAGCCGAUUGAGCACCAUCUUGGACCAAGGAGGCCAAGACAUCGUCGUAACGUUCGGCGAGACGCAAUUCUAGAACCUUCAUACCCUCAAAAGGUGGGGGGUGUCAUCCUGAAGCAACCGAACUCUCUAUUGUGUCUUAGAAUAAUAUAUAAUCUCAUCUCUUACAUGUUGCAUUAUAGGAUUGCAUUGUAGUACCUUUCCUUAUGCUUCUAAAUGUUAAUCUAGUGUACAUAGAAUACUUGGUGAAUGGAUAGGUAAGGAUUGGAUCAGAACAUGGAUCCUAUAGUCCUAAAGGAAAGAGAUGAACUCAAUGGUUAUUUAGUGACAUAGAGAGUGACAUCUAAAUGUUUAAAGAACAGAACGAGUGGCAUUAUGUAGUGUAUUUGAUACUAGAGGUUCAUGAACUUAGGGAUAGGUGGAUUCCCUAGAAAAUGACUCGUGAACAAUGAACUUAGUAAAGCUAAGUAACUAUGCAUGAAAGUCGGAAUAGGUGAGUUCCGAGAGAAAUGUUGGCCCUAGUUCGUAGGGUAUUCUCACGUGGAGAGGAUAGAUCAAGCUCACCGUCUGUUAUUUGGGAUGGUAAAGCCAUCCAUAUCCUCACAUGGAGAGGAUUGGUCGUCGAGUAUUCCGGAGUGUCGGGCGAUAUGACAGAGUUGUCCGCAGACAGUCCCGGGUUCGGGGGCACAUGGAGCCUCCUUACUCAAUGGGAUGGAUAUGUGAGUCAUAGGCAAACCCAACGGCUUUGCCACAGAUUGGGUAAAUGAAAAGUUAAUAAUGAUAUUGAACAUUGCUUAUCGAACAUGGAUCGAAUUUGUUAGCAUGAUAGUAACCUUCUACUAUAUGAUGCAUGCAUUCAUUACUCAUGAUUAUGGAUAUAGUAGCAUAUUUUUCCUAUUAUGUCUUUACAGCUUUGAUAUAUAUCUAUCUAUGUAUCUCGUUAUUACUUGUGCCCACUUGGACCUAGUGAGGAGAUCGGCGGAGUCGGCGGUCGAGCCCACUGGGAACUAUGGAAGAUAGUUCUCACUCCACUCUAUUUCCAGGGCUAGGUACAGGUUUGCCGGGCGAGGACCGUGGCAAGGGUAUCGCGCCCGACCAAUGAGAAUUUUUGGUAGAGUAGUAGCUUUCCUUUUGCAUUAGCACACCUAUGUAUUUGAGAGAGAUUUAUGUAGGUGAGGAUUUGGAGAGCUUUGUACUUUGAUGACACUAGUGAACAUGUGAAUAUUUUGGAGAAAAAUGUAAAUGUAAAAGAAUGUGAUGCAAUUGGAUGCAAUUAAUGUAAUAGCUAGUAGUUCUCUCUUUAUUUCACUUGUGUAUCUUGUGGAUUACUUGCUCUUUGUUGUUAGCACUGUUUGUGCCCCGUUGAUUGUGUACUUAUAGAAUUUAAAAUCCUGAGUAAAUUCUUAUACUCGAUCUGUUGUUCAGCCUUGGGCGGACAAGGGAGGUGCUGUCCGUUCGGCGUCCGUUCGCCGCGCCCAAACCGUGACAAAUUGGUAGGGGUUUCGGGGUAGGGGCAUGACACCGAGAACCUCAAAACCUGCUAACAUGGAGAAGAGAAAAGAAAAGAGAUCAAUUCUAUCAAGUUUCCCCAAAAAAAUUGGAAAAAAAUCUAGAGAGAGAAAGAGAAGAAGUUUACCUUUUUUUCCUCAUGUCCAAACACACUAGAAGGCAGCUGGGGGUCGGUUUGGGGAUAUACAUGCUGCAAAAAUUACCAAAAACCCUUUUACCAACUCAAUUUGCUGCAUUGAUUACCGGUACUCGAGUUGAGGUACCAGUACCAGGCACUUAAACAUGCCAAACUCGAGCGCAGAGCCAUCAGGUUUAGUGCAGUACUGUACCGGUACUAGCUCAAUGCAAUACGGGUACCCUGCCCAAUAACGGUACUCACUGACUCGGUACCGGUGCUCAACACCAAUCUCUCAAAACCCGAGAGCUACCCAUUUUGGUAACCCUCUGGGGUACCUGUACCCCACUCAAGUACUGGUACUCGGCACUCAAAAUCUGUAAUUUGCAGAUUUUAGUGUCGGCAAUCCAUUCUCGCACUUAGAACACCUAAGUUAAAUGUCGGUACACUCUUAGCAACCCUCAAAAUAGCUAGAAUAGUUUCACUUACUAUUCUAACACCAGAACCUUACAAUUUGCUAAAACUCAGUGUACUACAAAAAUUAAAUUGGAAAUCCAUAUAAAUUUUCGGGUUGACUUUAAAUCAAUGUUAUCUUAUAAAAAUAUCAUAAGUGAUCACAUACUAUAUGAUUAGGAUGUUGUGGCUACUUCUAAAUAUAGUUGAUUUCACAUUAAUCUUUAUAUGAUAUUGAAUGAUCCAAAAAAUUUCAUAUUGUUUCAAAAUGCAGCAGAAAAGAAUAAAAGUCUAGAGUAAUUUUUUUAACAACUUUAUGUGACUCAAAAUUUAUAAACUGUAUGAAGUCUAUAUAUUCUACUCUAAAUUUUUUAUGAUCACCUUAUGUGUGUUUAGAAUAAUAACGUAAAAAAUUACACUGCAAAAAAUUAAUCUAAACACAUUACUUUAUAUCAUGAAUAAACUAAUGAGUAGUAUAAAAAUUAAAUAUCUUCCGUAAUUUUGAUGUAAACUUCUUUAAUAAUAAGUCACAUUAUGAAGAAAAUUAUAAAGCAAAAUUAUAUAUAUACAUUUACACGCGCGCGCGCGCGCGCACACACAACAAUUUAUAUUAUAUAUUUUAUAUUAUAUUAAUUUAUAUAUUAUAUUUUAUAUAAAUAUAUAUAUUAUAUAUAUAUAUUAUAUUAUUAUUAUAGAGUCUGGUGCUAUUGUAUCAAUAGCACAAAGCACUUGGUGCUAUUAGUUUUCUACGUUAGGUUAAUCUUAUGAUUAUUUUUAAUGUUAGAUUUAUACUAUUCAACCAACCACCAACCCACGUCAAACCCUAGGUGGCCAAAUAAUCUAGCGCACAUUUUAUUUUAUUAGAGCAGAGAUUAUGCAUAAGUCAAUUGGUGUAUAUAUGUUUCCAGCUAGUUAGUAUAUACAUUAUAUCAAUUAUAUAUAUAUAUAUAUAUUAGAGAGAAGAGAAGACGGGGAGAGGAGAGAGAGGAGAGAGGAGAGAGAGUAAGUGCUUUUGCUAUCGGGAAGGACGGCUUCCGUGUUUCAGCUGUUUUCGAAUGUUGCGACUUUCGAUAUCGUCGAUCGGCUUCUGGUAAAUUGAUCUAGAGUAUUGGUACUAGAAAUAUAUUUUAUUAUUUUUGAGUAUCAUUUGCUAGGUUGAUCGAUGGGCUCAAAAUCAUAAAUUUUCAAUGGCUUGUAGUGAGCCGUUUGCAAGUUAACGGAUCCUGUAGAAAUAUUCCAAACACUAGUGAAUUUGAUAGAAAAUCGUUAUUACUAUAAAACAAUGAUCGAGUAUCUUUGAUUGAAAUUUUAAUAGUCAUAUUAUUAUUUUUAGAUCUUUUUUUUGCUGUUGAGUUUUGAGAACUUCGUUCAGCUUAGGCAAAUGAUAAUCGUAGAUCAUUAAAAUUUAUUUUUAGGUAUUCAAUAUAGUUAGAUCAGUUUAACGGAGCGAUCGACGAUUCGAAGCGCAACUUUGAAAACGAGCUGGAGCACGGAAAGUGCUCCGUGCUUCCGAUAUGCAUGUACUCCUUAUAUAUAUAUAUAUAUAUAUUAUAUAUAUAUGAGAGAUGAGAGAGAGAGAGAGAGAGAGAGAGAGAGAGAGAGAGGGAGUUGAGCGUAGAUUCUAUCCGAUGCAACGGGGUCCGUUGCACAUUUUUUUUGUGAUAGAGCUUCCAAAUUGACGAUCGGCACCGUUGAACAUGAUCUAUACCACUUAAAGUAUUUAGAAAUCAAAAUUUUGUGUCCACUCGAUGGAUAAGAGAACAAUAUCGAAAAUGUAUAAAAUUUGAUUUCUAAACACUUCAAGUGGUAUAAGUGGUAUAGAUCAUGUUCAACGAUGCCGAUCGUCGAUUUAGAUGCUCCAUCAUCGAAAACACAUGGAUGGCAACGGAGCUCGUUUGCUAUCGAUAGUAUUCUAGCUCAACUCUAUAUAUAUAUAUAUAUAUAUAAUUAAGCUCCUAUGCUUUUGAAAGUACCACGUUAUUAGUGCUUGUAGAUUUUCGGCCAUUAACCACUACAACAAAAAUGGUGUAUAGCGACACUUUUAAAUAUCGGUAUAAAUAAAAAAAAAGUGUUGCUGGCUAAAUUAACGACAUUUUUAAAAAAUAUUGCUAUAUGUGGGGUCGCUAGGUAUAUAAUGACAGUUUAAGCGUGUCGGUAUAAACUAAAAAGAGUGUUGCUAAUUUAUCAACAUUUAUUUAAGCAUUUAGCAAUCGCCGGAACUCUACCUCGUUGGCUGCGGUGGCGGAGGAAGAGGAGAGCGAAGGGCUCUUCGUCUUGAAUUUUAGUGGAUUGAGUGAUGGAAGAAUGAGAGAUGGUGAUUGAUUUUUUUUUUUUCUUUUUUUGUUUGUAAUCGGGCUGAAUGAGCUGGGUGAGGUGGGUUGAGUAGAGUAACAUUUUAUUUUUGGUUGGAUUGAGCUUUAUAUUUAGACCUUAUUAGAUUUUUUUUAAGUUUUGUCAUUAAUGAGACACUUAUAUAAAAGUGUCCCAAACAUAUAUCCCUAUAGCCUAAUUAUGUUGUAGUGAUUGGAUUAAGAGAUGUGCGGUUAAGAUGAUGUGGAUCCCCUAAGGUUGAGUGGGUUGUUGGUUGAAUAGUAUAAUCUAACGGGUGAAAAUGAUGAAAGGCUUAAAUCUAAUGGUAAAAAAUUUAUAAGUAUCAAAUGUUUGGUAUUUUUACAAGUACCAUAGCCGGACUAUAUAUAUAUAUAUAUAUAUAUAUUUAAUAUAAAUUAAAUUUUAAUCGACUUAUUGCGAUAUGUGCAAUUUUACUAUGGUACUUUACCGCAGGACUUAAUUUUUCCUAAAUUUCCAAACAAAGCCUUAGCGCUUGCUUGAUUCACUUGUCUUUUGAAAUAGCUUUUCUAUUAAAAAAUUAGAACUAGUAAUAAUGCACUUGAUACACAAACUAACUAGGUUUCAUUUGGAAUUGCAGGCAGAAUGCAUUUCAUACAAUGAGAAAAAAUAUUUAUUUCUAAAAAAUAACAAGCUGGUUAUAUUGUAUUGAUUGGAUGAAGAUAUAAUGUUUCGGGGCUGAUUUGAUUCCUCAAAAAAAUAUAAAAAAAAAAUUCCGCGAAAAACAGCAUUUUAUUACUAACUCUUUUUUCAGUUUCCGCCAAUUUGGUUUUAAGAAAACUAAUUUUUUUGAAAAUUUUUUUCAAAAAAUUUCAUAGAAAACUGGUGCUUUCAUUUUUCGACAAAAAAAAAUUCUGAAAACAAAAAUCCUAAUUUUUUAUAAAAUUUUAAAAGAAAUUUUUAGAAAAUUAGUUUUUCUCGAAACUAACCAGUCGGAAAACUAAAAAAAAAAAUCCAUAAAAUACUUUUUCGUCGAAAAUUUUUUUUUCCAAGUUUUUUCAAGGAACCCAACACUCCCUUGUGGUCCCACAUAAAAAAAAAAUGCCAAAUUACAAAAAAUUCUCUUUAAAUAUCCUCUCUUUUUUUUUUUUUACUUUUUUUCUCUGAUUUUUACAAAACUUUAUUUUGUUCUCUUAAAAUUUUAAUAAUGCUUUCAGGGAGAUGCAGUGUUAAGGAAGAGGACAAAAUGAUCAAAUUAAUUUUUAAAUAUAUUUAUGUUGUUUUGAAGGGCAUUUUGAGUAUAAAUUAUAAGAAAAGGACGGAAUAGUGAUGGUACUCUAAUAGAGGGGGGCUAAUGCAACCACUUGAAAUGCUGAUAUGGUUAAAUAUAGAUUUUUGAAAAUUAAAAAUGAAAAGUGAAAAAAAAUGGAGCAUUUAUAAGAAAGUUUAUGUAAUAUUUAGCUAAAGAAAAAAAGGAGGAGAAAUAUCCCUCUAUAUGCUUCUCCCCAACUCAUUUUGGCAUAGUAGCUCUAAACAACCUUCAAUGUCAAAACUCAAAAGGGUCCUUUCAUCAGAGUUUUUGCUGUAGGGAAAAGCAGUAAGAAUUAAAGCUUAGUGAAGGUUUUAGUGAAACAGCUAGCUAUGAGAGCACCAAAUUCAUAUAUGCACCUCUUGCUUUAGCGAAAAGCUCCAAUUGGACCAAACAGAUUUUUUUUUUUUUUUUUUCUGAGAGAAAGAUACGUAGUAUGCUACCCGUUUUGUUUAAGAGCACUACAACAGAAUUAGAUUAUAGGGACAAAUGUUUGGGACACUUUUGUCUAAGUGUCCCAUUUAUGUCAAAGUUUUAAAAAAUAUCUACUAAUGCCUAAAUAUAAAGCCGAAUCCAACAAAAAAUAAAAUGUUACUAUAUUCAACUCAUCCAACUCAGCCCAUUUGGCCCGAUUCCAAAUAGAAAAGAAAAAAAAAAAAAAGAAAAAUCGAUUACACCAAUCUCCCCUUCUCCUCACUAAUCCACAUGGAAAAAUCCAGAUAAGAGCCAUCCCUUCGUCCAUCCACCACGCCAGCCAACGAGGAAGUCAGCGUUGCAGAUACUUAAAUAAUUUGCAAAUUAGCACACUAUUAAUAUACGACCUUUAACUCACAAAUAUUAGCGACCCCACAUAUAACACAACUUUAUAAAAUACACAGUAAUUUAGCCACAACACUUUUUGACCUAUAACCGACAGGUAAAAGUCGCUAUAGACUUUGUGUAGGAGCAGAAACUGAAUCAACCAGAAACGAUACUUGGCNNNNNNNNNNNNNNNNNNNNNNNNNAGAGAGAGAGCUUGAGCCAUAAGAAUACUAUCGAUAGCAAAACGGCUCGUUGACCAUCCCAUUUAUUUUUGAUUGAUAGACUCCAAUCGAGACGCACGCUUGAACAUGAUCUAUACCACUUAAAGUAUAUAGAAAUCAAAAUUUGUGUCCACUCGUAUGGUAAGAGAAACAAAUAUUCGAAAUGAUAAAUUCUAAUUUCUAAACACUUCAAGUGUAUAAUGGUAUUAAAUUCAUGUUCAAACAUAUGCCCGAUCGUCGAUUUAAUGUCCAUCAUCGAAAACACAUGGAUCGGCAACGGAGCUCGUUUGCUAUCGAUAGUAUUCUAGCUCAACUCUAGUUAUAGAUAUAAUAUAUAUAUAAUAAGCUCCUAUGUUUGAAAGUACCAAGUAUAGUGCUUUAGAUGUUUCGGCAUUAACCACUUUCUUUAAAAAUUAUUUUUUUUUUUUUUUAAUUUUUUUAAUUUUUUUUUUUUUUUUUUUUUUUUCCCUUAACUUUUUUCUCAUUUUUUUUUUUUUUUUAUUUUCUUUUUGUAGCUUCUUAAACCUUUUUAGCUUCUUUAAUCUCUUUUUUUUUUUUUUGUUUCUUUAAAAAAACAAAAUGGUGGUUAGCGACACGUUUUAAUUAUCCGUAUAAAUAAAAAAAAAGAUGUUUGCUGGCUAAUAUUAACGACAUUUUUAAAAAUAUUGACUAAGUGGGGUCGACUAGCGUUAUGAAUGAAGUUUAACGUGCGAUAAACUAAAAAAGCUAGUGUGGCAAUUUAUCACAUUAUGUUAGAUCUAGACAAUCUGCCGGAACUCUACCUGCGGCCGAGGCCGGUGCGGAGGAAGAGGACGAGCGAAGUCUUCGUCUUGAAGAUUUUUAGAUGAUUGAGUGAUGGAAGAAAUGAGUAGAUGGUGAUAUGAUUUUUUUUUUUUCUUUUUUUGUUUGUAAUCCGGGCUGAAUGAGCUGGGUGAGUCGGGUUGAGUGAUAACAUUUUAUUUUUGGUUCGAUCUAGAGUUUAUAUUUUAGGCCUUAUUAGAUUUUUUUUAAAUUUUGAUUAAUGAACACUUAUAUAAAAGUUCCCAAAAUAUAUCCCUAUAGCCUAAUUAUUGUUGUUAGUGAUUGGAUUAAAGAGAUGUUCGGGUUAAAAUGAUGUGGAUCCCCUAAGUUGAGUGGUGUUGUUGGUUGAAUUAGUAAAUCUAAGUCGGUGAAACGUGAAAAUGAUGAAGGCUUAAUCUAAUGCUAAAAUAUAUUUAUAUAGUAAUCAAAUGUUUGCGUAUUUUAAAGCUUACCAUAGCCGGACAAUUAUAUAUAUAUAUAUAUAUAUAUAUAUAUAUAUAUAUAUAUUCUUUUUCAUUAAAAAAAAUAAUUUUUUUUUGGUUUUACUGCCACCUAGGCAGCCAGUUAUAUAUCCUUUUUCAUUAAAAAAAAAAACUUUUUUUUGGUUUGACUGCCAACUAGGCAGCCGCAUUACCGGCUGCCUAGUGCGGCCCUAUAGCGGCCGCUCGAGAUUGGUGCGGUGAUGUGCUUCCACCGCCCGGCCAACCGCCCAGCAUGAUUUUUUUUUUUUUUUUAACUACUUGAAUCGCUUAAUGCUGUCGGACCGGUGACACUAUUCCUCCGCCGGUCUCGAUUUUGACCGGCCGAUGUCACCAUUAACGCAAACCAUUCAGUGUAUUUAUUUUUUUUUUAAUGAAAAGGAAAUAAAAAAAAAUCUAAAAGUAACAAAAAUUCAGUAAUAUAUGUGGCUCUGAUACCAGAUGUUGAAACUUUAUUAGAAACUAAAAUCGUACAUUUUGUCAUAAUUUCGAUUUAUGUACUCGAUUUGUAGGAGGCGAUUUUUUUGCUUGUGGUUCAUUCUCGUUCACGAUAUGCAAGAGAGCAUAACGUUUCGAUUCUAAUUUCCUUAUCUCCGAAGAUGGAGUCGUUACAGAAAAUUUGUAUUAGGUUUAGACCGGGACUUCCAUAUGUUACAUAUUUAUAUAUAACUUGAUGUAAGGAUGUUAAAUCACGUCCGUCCAUCAAGGGCGUAUCCAGAUGCAUUAUAAUCGUUAAAUUUACCAUAUCUUUAUAGAUCGACUUGAAUAGACCGACUGUAUCUUUAUAUAUUGCCUUGAAUAAAUUAUGAAGGAUAAUCCAACAUAUAGAGCUCUUUUUACUCAUAUGUUGUUUUCAAUGAUGGAGCGUUCGAAUCGAUGAUCCACACCGUUAAAUAUGAUUUAGUAUAUUUGAAACUUCAAAAAAAUAAAUCUCAUAAUUUUUUAAAGUUAUAAUAAAGCCCAUCAAAAGGGCAUAAGAUGAACGGUCAAAAUUAAACGAUAUUCUAAAAAUAGAUGAUCGGAUCCUUCAGCCUAAGAUAUGAGUUUUUGAUAUUUAUCUAAAUAGUGAAUAGACUUUUUUUUAUCAAAAAUUCAACCAAAUUUGAUUAUUUUACACUGUUAAAUUAGCAAGUAUCCCAUAUCGGCCGUUAAAUAUUAUUAUUUUUGAAAUAUUUUAGUCGUAAGAUAAAUAAUUUUGUAAAAUUAUAAAAUUUAAUAUCUAAAAGUUUCAAAUACUAUAAAUUAUGUUUAACAGUAUAAAUCGUUGAUUCAAAAAUUUCUCAUCGAAAAUAACUUAUAGACAAAAAAAUGAUUUUACUCAUAAGAUUAUAAUAGCUAAACUCGCUAUCACUUUCUCUCUCUAUAUAUAUAAUGUUUAUGUAUGUAUAUAUCUGAGCAAUGUUGGUGGUACACCUCUUUAAGGGAUGUGACUAGUGGAUAUCCCCUCACCCUUAGAUGGGUGGGAGGUAUCUUAUACACCCUGAUUAUAAGAAGCAUUUUUUUUUUUGAGAGAUAGGUAGCAUGCUAUCCGUUUCGUUUAUUUCAUUUAGAAAUAAACUUAGCUCAAAAUGUGAAUUAAUUAGGAUUAGAAUUUGGAUCUCGGGUACCAACCACCAAGCCCUUUGCCACUUGCUCUAGAAACGGUCGGUUACAAAAAGCAUUUUCCAUUAAUAUAUAUAUAUAUAUAUAUAUAUAUAUAUAUAUAUAUAUAUAUAUAUAAUUAUUAAUAAUUAUAUAUUAUAUAUUAUAUAUAUAUAUAAAUAGAGCUAAUUGUGGAUGUGCUGUACAUUGCAUCAACCAAUCACACAGAUGGGUUAGGACCGUUCACGAGAUCUGCAUGACUCCAAUCGUCAACCAGCUUAUAAAAAAACAAAGGUACUCACGGACCGGAGUCUGCUAGCUCAUGCAUGCGUAGUCCCACACCGUUAAUUGCAUGCACCGGAAGUACCUUCUUGGUGUCACAGACCAAUUAAUUAGCAUUGUAAUUCUAAAUAUAAAUCGGUCGAUUCCCCAUAUUAAAAUACUUAUAUAUUAAGUUUAAAAUAUUCUGAUAACAUUUUUUUUGUGCUCUUAUUAUUUCUAGUGACUAUGAUUAAUUAUAUUAUAUAUAUACUAUAUAUAUAGUAUAUAUAUAUAUUAUAUAUAUAUAGAGCUCGGCCUACUAUCUAUUAAUAGGAUUGGAGCCAUUGUCCUAUAAAGUCGUUUUGAUUUGAUCGGAAAUCAAAUUGAUAAUCCGGCACCGUUGAAAUUGAUCUACACAAUUAGAAAUGUUUAGAAACCAAAUUUUGUAAUAUUUAAAAAUUAUUAUCUAAGUUCAUCUUAAAGUUAAAACAUGAACGUCAUAAAUGAAUAACUUCUUAAAAUAGAAGGCUAGACUUUCUCAAUUCAUAUCAGAGUUAUCAAAAAUUUUCUAAAUAGUAUAAAAAUUUUCUUCAAAAAUUCAAGCAAUUUGGAUUGUCUACACGUUAAACAGCAAAGGCUCAUAUAUGCCAUCAAAAAUUGUCGAUUUUACGACACUUGGAUCACCUGUAAAUAAUUUUAAAAUUAUGAAUUUAGUUUCUAAAUAUUUCAAAUACUCAUGAUAACUUUAACGGUUCGAUCUAUCGAUUCGGAAUCUCGAUCAUCAAGAACAACUUGAUAGGAAAGGCUCCUAUCUAUUAUUUAGGAUAGUAGCUCUAGCCUAUAUAUAUAUAUAUAAUAUAUUAUAUAUAUUAGUCGGCUACUAGUAUAUAUUGAUAGUACCAAGCCUUGGUACUAUAGAGUUUUUCUACGUUAGAUCUACCUGUGAUCAUUUCCACCCGUUAGAUUAUAUAUUAAACUACCACUCAUUCAACCCUAGGGGACCACUUAUCCUAACCGCACAUCUUUCAAUCCAACGGCCAAAAACUCAUAGUAAAAGGCUUUGUACUAUGAUAGUAUAGGAGCAUAAUUCUAUAAUAUAUUAUAUAUAUAUAUCUAUAUAUAUAUAAUAUAUAUUAUAUAUAUAUUAUUUUAUAUAUGAGUGGGAUACUAUGCUUCUAAAAGUAUAGAGCUUUCCGUGCUUUUAGGUCGUUUUAAUGUUGCAUGAUUUUGAAUCAUCGAUCGGCUCGCCAUUAAAUUUGAAUCCAGAGUAUUUAAAGUAUUUAGAAAAUAAAUUUUGUAAUUUUUCGAUAUCAUUUAUUUUAGUGAACUAAGGGGCUUCAAAAUAUCCGAAAAAAUUGCCAUGAUUACCUUAACGUAUGAUAUUAUUUGUGAGUUACCUAAAUAUCAAAAAUUGAAUGAUUACCUUAACUAAUGCAUAUGCUUUCAUUUCAAAAUAGCCUACAGUCGAAUGAGCAAGUCUAUUAUGCAGUAUUUAUACUACAUUAUUAAUAUCCAUUCAAUCAUAUUUCUCAUUUUGAGAGAAAACUAUAAUAAAAAUAGUUUUCAAUAACUAUGAUAGGGAUGAUAAAAUUAAGGGAAAUAAUUGAUUGACACAUCAGUAGUACAACUGAUGCAUUUUAGACUUUUUUUCAUUGAAGGGCUCUCCAUGCAUUUUGACCUGAUCAGAAAAAUGCAUUUUGACCUUAGGAAAGAAAAGAAAAAAAAAAUGCCCUGUACAGUGUUUGAGUUUGGAGUAUACGCUGCGGUGCAAGCAUUAUUUUCUCCUUUCCAGUAAGAGUUGUAGACCUCUCUGGAUCUCCCUCCGCCCCCGUCCCCUGAUCACCGGUCGCGACCGAAUCAGGUCACUCACCCCACUCUUAUGCGAUUUUAGGCACUUCACAUGGCCUCCAAGCUGGACUAUUUUAUCGUUUCCUCUCUCCUGCCCCAUAUAUAUAUAUAUUGACAAGAGUUUCCGCUUGCGAGAGAAAGCUACGUACGUACGUACAAUUAAGUAUUGCAUGCAAACAAGCACUUCUUCUCCAUAUAUACUCACCCGGAACAUUAAUUCUCUCUUGACAUGAAGAAAACAAAUUACUUUAGUUGAUAUCCCUUUUAAUUGACGCAAGGCAAAUAUUGUCAUUUAUUAAGCACAAAGUGAUACACAUGAAAUAAUUAAUUAGAAGGUAAAACCUCUCGAGAAUUAUAAUUAAUGGAGAAGAGUUCUCUCGUAAAAAUAAUAAAGUAGCUAGGGCCCUUGCCAGCCAAGUAUGGAAUCAUGAGAUGCAUGUAGUCCAACAGUUUCUGGCUCUCCUAUUUGUAUCUUUUCUCAUAUGAGAUAAAUUUGGUUAAUAAAGGACCCCACAGAUAGCUGAGGGGAAUAUUUAGCAUCUUACUUGUGCAACAUGUUAAAUGGAAGUUUCUAUUACCUAGCUAUAAAAGAUUGAUUUGAUGAUAAACAGUGCAAGAAUAAUUUUAAUGUCUUCUUUGUUAAAGAUAAUGCUAAUGAGAUUAGGAUUAGAUUAUUUGAUAUUAUCCAUUAUUAUAUUCGGUUAUUGUUAAGAUAUAUUCGGUUAUUUAGAUUAUGUUUAAGAUGAAAUAAAAUCAGAGUAGGAUUCUAUGUAAUUAGUAUAAAUAGGUAGGCCGGAAUUAUUUUGUUAACAAAGCCGAGAGUCGCCAUAAUUAAUUAGCGCUCGCCGAAGGUUGCAUAUGGUGAUAAGUUAUUUUCUUCAAUAAAGUUAUUUUUAGUUUUGCUUCUAUAACAACGUACCAUAUUCUUUGAUUUGUCUUCUUCCUCUCUUGUUUUUUCUAUUUUACUUUUUGGGGGAUCUCUAUGUACCAUAACAGGUAUAUAGAACGUAUUUGUUGGUGGCCCACCACCGUAACAAGUGGUAUCAGAGCCUGAAUUUCGAGAGGAGAAAGUGUCGAUGGCGUUUAACAGCGCUAACGGAGUUGAACAAGGAUUCCUGAUAUUCAAGGGGGAUAAUUAUGAUUUUUGGUGUGUGAAGAUGCGGACGUUGCUGCGAUCCCAAGAUUUAUGGGAUUUUGUCGAAAAAUGAUGUAAGGAAACAACCGGAGAGAAUCUAGAAAAAGAUGCAAAGGCGCUUUUCUUUAUUCAGCAAUCAGUUGACGAUUCGAUAUUUUCCUACAUUGCCGGUGCUACUCAAUCAAAGGAAGCAUGGGAUAUAUUACAGAAGGAAUAACAUGAUAACGAAAAGGUACUCAGAGUUAAGAUUCAAACUUUAAAAAGAAGAUUUGAAACUUCUUUUAUGCAAGAAAAUAAAAAUAUUCAUUUUUUUUAUUCUAAAGUUAUGGAAUUAGUUAUCUUGGUGCGUAUAUAUGGUGAACAGAUUACUGAUCAAACAGUAGUCGAAAAAAAUUUUAAGAAGUCUAACGAAAAAAUAUGGUUAUGUUGUUUCUGCCAUUAAAGAGGCAAAAGAUUUAUCUAAAUUAUCUUGUAGCGAACUUCUUGGUUCUCUUUUAGCACAUGAGAAAGGAAAAGGUAGAACUAAAAAUUUUUCUGAGCAUGCUUUUCAAAGUAAAUCGAAAAGCGAUGAAAAAGAUGGUGCAGAUUCUCUUAAUUGUCAAGCUUCAGCAUAUAGUGGACAUGGUAGAGGCCGUGCUCGUGGCUAGGGCAAAGACCGCGGAGGUAGAUCCAGUGAUUUCAACAACAGAACGAUGAAAGAUCUGGUAAUCAAAAUCAGAUAACCUACGGAGGUAACUAUCAAUCCCACAAUCGUAAAAAUAUUCAAUGUUAUUAUUGUAAAAAAUUUGGCCAUAUCGAGUGCUUUUGUCGAUUGAAACAGCAGAAUGUGAAUUUUGUUUAUGAAAAAAAUGAAAACGAUAAUGUACUUUUUGCAUGUCGUUUAAUAGAAAAAACUGCUAACAAUAUUUGGUAUGUCGAUAGUGGUUGUAGCAGUCACAUGACAGGAAAAGAAGAAAACUUUAUUAAUUUGGACAAAUCAGUUAAAGGCCGCGUGACAAUGGGUGACGGCUAUGUCCAUGAUGUGCACGGAAGAAGUACAAUUGCGGUAAAUAUUUUCGGAAUACAAAAAAUAAAUAAUGUCUUAUAUGUUUCAGGAUUGAAUUUCAAUCUUUUUAGUGUGGGUCAAUUUUUGAAAAAAGGUCAUUCACUUAUUUUUGAAGAUUCUAAAUGUAUAAUUUAUGGAGAUAAAGAUAAAAAAAAAAUUUAUUUUUUGAAAUUCCGAUGACAGAAAAUAAAGUUUUUCCUAUUUAUAUUGCAAUGAAAGUAGUGCUAGAUGAUGAUUGGUUAUGGCACUAUCGAUAUGGUCACUUGAGUUUUAAGGGACUUGAUCUUUUACAUAAAAAGAAUAUGGUUGAUGAUUUGCCUUUGGUGCAUAACAAUGGUUCUAUAUGUGAAAGUUGUAUGCUAGGAAAGUAUCAUAGGGACUCUUUUACGAGAAAAGCAAUUGGAGAGGCAAAGAACCAUUAGAAUUGAUAUAUGCAGAUAUAUGUGGACCGAUGCAGACACCGUCGCUCAGCAAUAAUUACUACUUUGUAGUUUUCGUGGAUGAUUAUAGCCGGAUGACUUGGGUUUAUUUUAUCAAAAAUAAAUCCUAGGCUUUUGAUGUUUUUUAGAAAUUUAAAAAUUUAGUUGAGAAUGAAUCCGGUUAUUAUAUUAGGACCCUCCAUACAGAUCGAGAGGGAGAAUUUAUUUCUAAUAAGUUUGAAAAUUUUUAUAAGGCUAAUGGUAUCCACAGGCAGUUGACAACCAGUUACACGCCUCAGCAGAACGGUGUUGCAGAGCGCAAAAAUCAAAGUUCAGUCGAGAUGGCAAAAAGCAUGUUGAAAGCGAAAAAUCUCCCGAACAAAUUUUGGGCAAAAACGGUAUCUACUAUAUCAUAUAUUCUCAAUAGAAGUCCAACUUUAGCGCUUGAGAAUAUUAUACCUUAUGAAGCAUGGACCGGCUGGAAACCGAAGGUAAAACACUUUAAAAUUUUUGGAUCGGUUUCUUUUGUUCAUAUCCCAUCACAAAAUAUGCAAAAAUUGGAUUAUAAUAGUCAGAACUGUAUUUUUGUUGGAUAUAGCGAAAGAAGUAAAGCUUAUCGAUUUUAUAAUCCUGCUACUAACUCUUUAAUUAUAAGUCGUGAUGCUAUUUUUGAUGAACAAAAAGCUUGGAAUUGGAGCGCAAAAGUGCAGGAUAAUCCACUUUGAUACUCGAAAAUGAAACUGCAACUGAAAAUAGAAACAAUGGUGAAAGUACGACAAGUACAGAAACAACAACACAAGCUUCACCGCAAAUUUCACCAGAAACUUCUCCAGAGACGACGCCAAGAAAAAUAAGAUCACUUAGUGAAAUAUACGAACAGUGCAUGUAUUCACAAUGUGGAUAAUUACAAAAUUUCGAAAAGGCGACAAAAUCUAAUGAUUGGUGUAAGGUGACGAACAAAGAAAAUGCAGUGUUAAGAAAAAAUAAUAUCUAUAAGUUUGAUGAAUCGCCUAUAGAUAAAGAAAUUAUUGGAUAUAAGUGGAUAUAUAAGGCAAAAAGGAUAUUGAGAGAUUUGAAAGGAACAAGAGACCACCGGUUGUGGUAUACUAACCCUAAUGAUUUUUAUUUUGGUUGUUUUAAUAGUGAUUGGACAGGUUCAGUUGGUGAUCGAAAAAGUACGAGAAGGGUUCGAGUUGAUACACUACCGCAACCGAGGAGCAGAUGACCGAUAUUUUCACAAAGCCACUACCAUUGGAGAAAUUCAUAUUUUGCCGAGAGAAGAUCGAUGUGAAGAACAUUAGCAUUAUGGGGGAGUGUCAAAGAUAAUGCUAAUGAGAUUAUGAUUCGAUUAUUUGAUAUUAUCCAUUAUUAUAUUCGGUUAUUGUUAAGAUAUAUUCGGUUAUUUAGAUUAUGGUUAAGAUGAAAUAGAAUCAGAGUAAGAUUUUAUGUAAUUAGUUAUAAAUAGGUAGGCCGGAAUUAAUUUGUUAAUGAAGCCCGGAGUUGCCAUAAUUAAUUAGCGCUCACCGAAGGUUGCAUAUGGUGAUGAGUUAUUUUCUUCAAUAAAAUUAUUUUUAGUUUUGCUUGUUUGACAACGUACUAGAUUUUUUGAUUUGUCUUCUUCCUCUCUUGUCUUUUCUAUUUUACUUUUUGUGGGAAUUUCUAUAUACCAUAACAAGUAUAUAGAACGUAUUUGUUUGUGGCCCACCGCCGUAACAUCCUCAGCAUAGUGGCGUAUAAAUGUGAGCCGUCGCACAUAUAUUGACCAAAGUGAUAAGUGAGAUGAUAAGUUAAUGUGAAUCCAACUCAUUGAAUACUAGACAUAUAUAAGGGAUUGAUCCUAAGGCCUUAGAACCAACCAGCUUUGAAACAACUAUGUUACCUAAAAAACUGAUCAAAUAGAAAAUUAUAACUCGAUUGAGUUGUUAGACAGCGAAGCGAGAAUAGUCUUAAAAAUUGAAAGGUGCACGCGGAGUUAGGAGAGUAGUACAUCUUGUCUACAAAAAAGGACAUUAGCAAACUGUUAUUUCUCAGAAUGUAACAUGCAAUACUCUUCUCAUGAGUGGCUGGUAGUGUUAUAUUAUUGCAUUGACAUCAGAUAGAAUUGUAGUUUUUCUCUUGUAUUUAGGAGAAAUGUUGGCCCUACAAUUAUUUUUUGGUUGUAAUUCUACAACUAUAUCAUCUAUGAAGCCAUAUUAAUAAAUCCAAAGGGUUAGAUCCUAUAACCCUUUGGGGGCUAUAGACUUAACAUUUUUCUGUAUUUAUUAUCGCUAUCUUGCGUGCCUUUCCCUUCAAUAAGUAGGCUUACUCUUCCAAAUGCACCUAAUUUGGCACGUGGUCUCAAAUUAUGCUAGUAAUGACAAUUUUUGUAUUCUAGUUCAUUAAUUAUAGGUUAAUGAGCUUUACAUUCAAUAUUUCAAUAAUUAUUAAUAAUUAUUAUUAAAUUAUAUUAGUUAAUAAAGAUCCUAUAGGUUUCAAUGUCAUUUUAUCUGCGACUAAAUACUUAUUUGCUAAUUGAAAAUUUUAUUAACAUGUAAAACAAAUUAUUUAUGCAUGUCCAAUUUUACGUUUAGACUUUUCUUAUUUUCAGCAUGAAAAAUUAUUUAUGCAUGUCUAAUUUUACGUUUAGACUUUUCUUAUUUUCAGCGUUUCAUGUUAAAAGCACAUUCACUAUUCACUAUGUGCAAUAAUAAGUGGUACUAUUCCUGUUUGUUAUAUUUAUUGUAAGUAAUUUCGACUUGCAACCAUUCUUCCUUCCUUUGAUAAACUCCUCUACUCUUAGGGGUUUUUUUUUUUUUUUUUUUUUUUUUUUUUUUUUUUUUUUUUUUUUUUUUUCCAACAAAUAUGGAUACCCAAAUACAAAUAUUUUUGAACUUCCGAUAAUAGUAUUUAGCAUUAUUUUAUUUUUUAUUUCUUUUCAUAUUUGUGCAAUAUCAUAUACAUAAUUUUCAAUUUUAUAUAAAGAAUAUACCCCGAUCUCUCUAUUUAACUUUUGAUGAUCAGGUACUGCUUCAUGAUUUCUGAUUUUCCUGUAAGUAUUAUAUCCAGAAUCCGGAUUGAUCUUUCUAUUUAACUUUUGAUGAUUAGGUAUCGUUCCAUGAUUUCUGAUUUUUCUAUAUUCAAUUUUUUAUUUCUCUUUUGCAUCUGUUAUCUUGAAAACUUUAUUUACAUUUAUAUUAAAACUUUCUAUCACAUAUAAUCACUACAACAGAAUUAGGUUAUAGGAACACAUAUUUGGGACACUUUGAGUAAGUGUCUCAUUUAUCCUAAAACUUAAAAAAACAUCUACUAAUGCCUAAAUAUAAAGCCCAAUCAAACUAAAAAUAAAAUAUUACUCUACUCAACCCACCACACCUAGUCCAUUUCGCCCGAUUACAAACAGUAAAAAAAAAAAAAAAUCAAUUACCAUCUUUUCUUCUCUCUUCACUCAAUCCACUGAAAUUCUAGACGAAGAGCCUUUCCUGUCGUCCUCCUCCACCACCACAGCCAACGAGAUAGAGUUUCGGCGGUUGCUAAAUGCUUAAAUAAGUGUUGAUAAAUUAGCAGCACUCUUUUAGUUUAUAACGACACUCUUUAACUGUCGCUAUAUACCUAGCGACCCCAUAUAUAGCAACAUUUUUUAAAAGUGUCGGUAAUUUUAGCUAGAAGCACUUUUUUGACAUGUACCUACAUUUAAAAGUGUUGCUAUAGACCGUUUUUGUUGUAGUGAAUGUAAAGACAAACAAUUUAGACCUCAUAUAUAAUAUAUACACAUACACUUAAUCCAUAAAAUUACAAUUCAUGAAAUGCACAAAUUUCAUACUAGUAUAUAUAAGUAUUACUAUAUACCAGAUAUAGCUAGCCCUAAUUCAUACAGCAUAUAAUAUAAUUCAUAAUAAGAAUAUACGUGAGGAUGAGGAUCGUGUACACCGCAUGUUGACAUGCCUGGGCAUUCUCUUUCAUACCGUGCGAUUUAUUUUUGUUUGUUCAUUCUAAAGAGGCCAAGCAUGCCGUUGGAGAUCACAUUACUUUCUAAUUAAAUGGACUUAUUCCCAGAUUUGAUAUAUGAGUAAAUUUUGUUACAUAUUGUUGACAACGAAUUUUGUUCAUAAGAUAUGGACAUAUUCGGAGAAGGGAUGUGGGCGAUAGCCGAAUGGAGGUUUCGCUUGAGUAAGAGGGGGCAUAACAAAAGCCAUUUUGAUAAAAAGCUUCAGAGAGGCCUGCAGACAAACCAUUUAAAAUUUAAAUAGAAAAUGUUGAAGAAUUUGAAAAUAGCUGCAACAACAGAGAUGAUUUCAGACAGAGAGAGCGUAACUAUCUCGUGCAAAUCGCUCGGAUGAAUUACAGCUAUGUCAAGCCGGAGUUUAAUAUUGACAACUGGCUACGUAAGGAGGCAUCGAUCGAAACAUAUCCAAUUUUAUCCAUAUUCUCUACUAGUACUAGAUGUAGGCACUACAACAGAAUUAGGUUAUAGGAACACAUGUUUGGGACACUUUUCAGUAAGUGUCCCAUUUAUGCUAAAACUUAAAAAAACAUCUACUAAUGCCUAAAUAUAAAGCCCAAUCCAACCAAAAAUAAAAGAUUACUCUACUCAACCCACCACACCCAGUCCAUUUGGCCCGAUUACAAACAAAAAAGAAAAAAAAAAAGAAAAAUCAAUUACCAUAUUUUCUUCUCUCUUUACUCAAUCUACUGAAAUUCUAGACGAAGAGCCAUUCCUGUCGUCCUCCUCCGCCACCGCAGCCAACGAGAUAGAGUUUCGGCGGUUGUUAAAUUCUUAAAUAAGUUGUUGGUAAAUUAGCAGCACUCUUUUAGAUUAUAGCAACACUCUUUAACUGUCACUAUAUACCUAGCGACCCCACAUAUAGCAACAUUUUUUAAAAGUGUCGGUAAUUUUAGCUAGCAGCACUUUUUUGACAUGUACCUAUAUUUAAAAGUGUCGCUAUAGACCAUUUUUGUUGUAGUGAGGCAUUAUCACUGAGCAAUGGUAACGUAUAGUUCCUCUAUCAUUGACAAGACUGUCCGCCACCAACCACCCCCGCUGAUGCUGAUCAUUGCCCUCAUCGGCGAGUGCAACUCCUGUUGCACGUCUCUGCUACAUGCAGCAUCGUUUCACUGACACGAAUAUAGCUCGAUUUUGGCUCGAAUCAACAGUUGAGAUUUGAGAGGCCGACUGCUUACGGUUCAUCCAACGCCCAACAUCUCGAACGCCUCUUCGAGACCGAGCAGUCUGUUCGGACUAGCUCCUACCGAAGCCUGAAGCAUUGAGUUGUUUGGAAAACUAAAUUGGAGUACUGUACGCUCUUUGAUCAGCCUUGACACAAAGUUAGAUUGCCUUCGGUCAGAGGGACGAGGAAGUCGGACAAACAGAAGCACACCACGCGUCAAUCAGCAAUUCGCUUGCAGCCAACACAUAUAUAAUAUUAGAAAAAUUUAUAGAAAUUUAACUCUAUAGAAUAAUUAGUUAUUUCGCAUAACAUCAAAGUAGAAGUUUAUAAAUUUAGAUCUAACGAGGCAUUCAGAGGAUAUAUAGUUUGACACCCGAGGAUAGAUAAUUUGAUGGAAAAUGGUACCAAAAUUAAUGUAUGGUGGAGAUCAAAAUGAUGAUGAGUACAAUCAACACGCGGUGUCCAUCAUGAUUCCGAAAGAAGUGCCAAGGACACAUCGAAUCAAUUAUAUACUACGAACAUGCGCCACCAGAAUUAACUAUAAUUGAUGAGAGGAAUCCUAUGUACAAAUUGUACCAUUUGAUUAACAGGCAACUAAGAAAUUCUAUCAGACAAUUAUGAACAUUAACAGAAUCACUACAACAAAAACGGUCUAUAGCGACACUUUUAAAUAUCGGUAUAAGUCAAAAAAAGUGCUACUGGCUAAAUUACCAACACUUUUAACAAGUGUUGCUAUAUAUGGGGUCGCUAGGUAUAUAGUGACAGUUAAAGAGUAUCGCUAUAAUUUAAAAAAAUGCUGCUAAUUUACAAAUAUUUAUUUAAGCAUUUAGUAACCGCUGGAACUCUAUCUCGUUGGCUGCGGUGGCAGAAGAGGACGAGAGGAAGGGAUCUACGUCUAGAAUUUCAGUCAAUUGAGUGAGGGGAGGAGGGGAAAUAAUAAUUAAUUUUUCUUUUCUUUUUCUUUUCUUUUUCUUUUUUGUUUAUAAUCGGGCCGAAUGGACUGGGUGAGGUGGGUUGAGUAGAGUAUCCUUUUAUUUUAGUUGGAUUGGACUUUAUAUUUCGGCAUUAGUAGGUUUUUUGAAAAGUUUUGACAUAAAUGUGACACUUACACAAAAAUGUCUCAAACAUGUGUCCUUAUAACCUAAUUCUGUUGUAGUGAAUGAAGAAUAGCGAAAGAAGAAUUUUGCUUAAUUAGUAAUUUUACACCCUCCUUGUUUAGUAAUUUUACACUCUCCGUACUUUCAGGAUCAAUAUUUUCCCACUAGUUUUAUAAUUUUCUUUUUUAUAUUUAAAAUUUUUAAGUGGACUGUUGCAAUAAUUUUACGUGUACAAAUAUUAUUUUUCUCUCUCUCUCCGCUGUAUAUGUCUGAGGAUAAUUACCUCAACUGUGUAAUUAAGGAAUGAGACAAUGAUGAGCGAAAUGAUGGGAACCGAUCUCGAUCACCACCCAGGGAAGGAGCCAACCAACGAAAACUGGCGGUUGCAAGAACUUCACGUGACAUGUCUCAAGGCUUCCCUUCGACCUUUCACACCCCUCUCCCCAAGCACUAUAAAAUCCACUUUAACUUCGUUUAGCAACAUACUGGCAACUAACCAAGCUCCUUACUACUACUACUACUACUACUACUAUUACUACUAGCUAAGGGAGAGAGAGCCCAUGAUGGCCAUGGACUCCUCCAAGAUCACAGCUCUUCUCCUCAUCCUUAUUCUCUCCAUUUCAUCCACCCCUCUAACCCUAGCUUGCGGCUCAUGCCCCACUCCGUCACCGGAGACCCCGAGUGGACCCAUCCUUCCCCCAAUAAUCGGCAAACCACCCAUCACCCUUCCGCCGAUUAUUGGCAAACCACCCAUCACCAUCCCACCAAUCACCGUCCCGCCUAUCACUAUUCCACCGAUCAUUGGCGGCACGCCACCCACAACUGUAAAACCAGGAUGUUCGCCACCGCCUCAGACCUGCCCCAUCGACGCCCUCAAGUUUGGGGUUUGCAUAGACUGCCUGGGCAACGAGAUACAUCUCGGCGACCCGGCAGUGCAGUGCUGCCCACUCAUAAGCGGUCUUGCAGGGGUUGCAGCAGCAGCGUGCUUGUGCACCGCCAUCAAGGCCAAGCUGCUCGACAUCAACAUCUACCUCCCGCUUGUGUUCAAGCUCCUCAUCACCUGCGGCUACUCCAUCCCUCCUGGUUACACCUGCCCGAAUUAAAGUACAAACAGUUCACUUUCUUUGCUGAUUCUUCUUCUGGUAUAUGAACUUUCUUAAUUUGCUUCUUCACUAGUACUGCUGGUGAGAUCAUGCUUGCUCUUUCUUCCACUUAUGCUCCGGUUGGCAAAACUAAAAGAAAGAAGAAAAGAGCAAUAAAAAUGAGAAGAGAGAAUCAUUUUCUUCUUCUCUUCUUCUUCUUCUUCUUCUUCUUCUUCUUCUUCUUCUUCUUUUCUUUUUCGAAGUAAUGCUUAAUUUUCUUUGGGUUUCUUCCUAAAUUUGGAAUAAAGUUUUGGAGAGGAAGAUGAAGAAAUGAAAAGAAAAGAAGAGAAAAUAAGCAACGAAUUAAAAAAAAGAAAUUACACUCAUCCAUCCAAAGGUUUAGACACUUUUUUUGAGUUUUUAAUAUUAAAAAAAUUUGCAUGACUAGUGUGAGAAUAUUAGUAGUUGGAUGAAAAAGUUUGUAAGAUUUAAAUCUACUAUUUGGGAAGUAGCAUUACUCAAAGUAAAAACAGUAACUUACAUCAUCAAAAACUCACUUUAUUAUUAUUAUUAUUAUUAUAAUAUAUUUUUGAUUGUCCAAAUUUUAUAAGGAACACUCAAUUUCUUCUAUCUUCUUUUUUUCUUUUUUCCUUUUCUAAUUUUUCUUUUCAAAUUUUCUUUUCUGAUCUUUUUUUGCUGAUUUUCUUUUCUGAUUUUUUUAUCUGAUUUUCUUUUCUGAUUGUUUCUUUCUUUCUCAUGCUCUUAAUUUACAGCCGAACAGCAAAAUAUUACAGAUUUUAUUAAAGCGUUGAGCAAAAUGUGUAAAUGGUUGAAACUGAUAUACAGAAUCCUUUUGUUCGCAGGGAAAAGGGAGUUAAGGAAUGUUGCUGGAUUAAUUGUAGAUGGUGAUGAGACAUAAGAGGAUGUCAACUCACCCAUGCAUGUGUAUCUUCUGUUUCUUUAUUGGUUCUAAAUUUGUGUUUCCUUGGUGCAAUUUGUUCAGAUGUUCUAUGUUGUAUGGAUUCUUCUCGUUCUAAUUCCUUCAUUUUAAUGUGUACUUUUGUGUCAUGAGAAAUAAAUACCUGGUUUAACUGAAUUAUUGUGUAGAAUGGAAUCAAUAUACAAGUAUUUACCGAAGUUUAGCGACUUUUGCAUAUUGCCUCCUUGAUAUUUAAUCUUCACAAGCAGCUCCUCCAAACUUUAUUAAGUAGUUUAUUUUCACUUCUGUCCAAGCGAAGUUACUAAUGGAAUAGUAGUUUUGGUCGCAUAUCUUGUACAAGAACUUGCAAAAAAUUUCAAAAUACAAAUAAACUUCAUAUUCUCUCUGUUAGAUUAUAAGUUUCUUUAUUAAUUUAUUAUUUAUUUCUUUCGUUGAAAGGAUAUAUUUCUUUGUAAGUUUGUGUCUUUUAGUUUAGGGUUAUGUCCUUUACUGCAGAGAUAUUUGUUUUUGUGAAAAGUUGCAAUGUUUUAUGCUCUAUAAAUGAAGGUCAUGUGAUUUGUUGUUCGUGUGGAUCAAAUUGUACUACAAUUAUACUGAGUUCCUGUGAACUUGAGUUCAGUCAUAUUUAUAUAAAUUUUGUUGUUUUAAUUUUAAAUAUUUUGUAGUUUCUUUAAUAUAGUUUAUAGCCCACCAACAUUUAGCAUCAAAACCAAGUUACUAGAAAGAAACUCUGUCAACAAAUGACCAAUCAACUUCUCCAAACUAAAAUCCCAAAACUAUUCAAAGACAAUUAUGAGAAUUGGUGCAUUCAAAUGAAUACACUUCUUAGAACGUUCUCAAGACCUUCGGGAAUUAGUUAAAACUAAGAUUAAGCAUUUUGAGCCAGUGGUUUGAGUCAAUGAGUUUUAUCGUUAGCAGAUCGGAUCAUUAAAUUUGGUAUCAGAACUAGAACAACAAUAUUCCUUUGGAUUUUCCAUAUAUUGGCUAAUUAAUCUGACACCAUAGCUGAUAUCUGGUCUACCCAUUGUUAAAUAACGAAGACUUCUUAUUAGGCUUUUGAAUAUAAUUGAAUUAAUUUUCUUUCCUAUGUCACUUUUGUUGAGUUUUGUUCCACAAGCAAUCAGUGUGUUGAUUUCUUUAGAAUAUUUUAUUAUAAAUUUCUUCGAAAUACUUUCAGCAUAUCUCUUUUGAGUGAUAAAAGUUUUAUUUUCAUCUUGUUUAACUUUAAUUCUGAGAAAAUAUGACAUGAAGCCUCAUUCUGUCAUUUCAAACUCUCUUAUCAUGAUAUUGUUGAAGUCAUCAGUCAUAUCCUUACUCCGGUGGUUAAUAGAUCGUCAACAUACACGCGUAUGAUCAAAAUUUUCCCUUCUUUUUUAAUUUUUCUUGAUGUAUGUCGCAUUAGGGCAUUUAUAAAAUCUAAUCUUUUAAAGAAAAUUAUCAAGAUGAGUAUUUCAUACUCGUGGAGCCUAUUUUAAAUCAUAUAAACCUUUAUUUAAUCGAUAAACUUUAUCUUCUGUACCUUUUAUUUUGUAGCCAGGAGGUUGUUGAAUAUAAACUUCUUUCUCAAGAAAACCAUUAAGAAACACCAAUUUUUACAUCCAUUUUAUGUGCUUGCCAACCAUGAAAAGCAGCUAUUGCAAGAAUUAGUCGUACUGUAUAUAUCAAGUUAGGCUAUAGUUAAUGCAGUUUCUUCUUGCUCUAUGUGUUCUUGGUACCCAGUUUUAACUAAUUCGCAAAAGUCUUGAGAACCUAGAAGUGCUUUCAUUUGAUUUACAUCAAUUUUUGUAGUUGUCUUUUAAUAGCUUUGGGAUUUGCGUUUGGAGAAUUUGAUUGGCCAUCUGUUGAUAGAUGUAAUUAACAAUUGCAUCACUUGUAGUUAUUAAUAACUAACUACAUAUGUCUCUUGAUGAAAAAGGAUAUUUUAAAAUUAAAAGGUGCGACUCUUAGUUAUGAGUGCCUUUUAGUGUGAAAAGAGAUGUCCUUUCAUGCCUAUAAUAUAUGCACAUUGUAUGGAGAGUUAAAAUUAAAAAUUUAAGUUAACAAGUGUCACGCCCCGGGGUCCUAUUUAAGUUCAAAAACAAAGCGGAAGUGCCAACAUUUUUUUUGUUUUAAAACCUGACCUCCAGGAUAUGCCAGAUCCGCCACAAAUAUAGGGAGUCCAUUGUUCAGACGGACAGAAUCUCCUAUGUAUUUGCACGGCAUCGCACAAGUACAAGAUACAAAUAUCACUAUGCCAAAGACAACCACACAUAUGAACAUCUACAGAUAAUCAUACACCAUUCACAAGCACAUCUUCAACCAGAGUUAUUCAUAAAUCCACAACUAUUAGUUUAAAAUAUUUUCCACCCGGAAACUCAUUUUGAAAACCCUAAGUCAUGAACCAAGAAAACUGUUUUAAAAACUGUUUCCCACACGAAAACCUUUUCCUUUUUAAAACACACUACCACGAGCGGUAGAAAACCGUUUCCAUUUAACAGAAAUCCAUAAAUCCUUUAUUACAUUCAUAAAACACAUGAAUUUAAAAAUAAUAAGUCACUAAACCAACUAAAUAGUCUAAGUCAUUUAUUUAAA
rnacentral:lncRNA from 1 species